rnacentral:miRNA from 1 species
UAAAUGAUUACAAAGCCCAGUCGAAUUGUAAUCAAGACCCAACGUUUCGACACUUCAUUACGUUGGGUCUUGAUUACAAUUUGACUGGGCUUUGUAAUCAUUUAUU